AUGGUGGCGAAGCAGAUCCCGCGGGAGCUGGCGGACAUGCUGACCCGCGACCCCAUCAUGCAGCGCGCCGUCCUCCCCGAGGCCGCCCUCGGCGCCGACCACUACCUCUCCUCCCUCACCACCAUCGCCGACGUCGAGCUCUCCAACGACCUCCAGGUCACGCCCGGACCCUCCCUCGAAACGAUGCGGCUGCGCUGCAAUCUGGGAUGGUUGGUUGUGGGGGGUGAUGCUGAGCUCCUUGUCUCUGCUUCGGUCUGUGUCUGCAGGUGUGCAAGGUGUAUGUGUCUGUGUUUGGGGACGAGAGGGGGAAGAAAGUGGCCAUGGCCGGGCUCAAGGACAAGGCCAGUCAGGAGCCAGAUUGGCAAGCGGAUGAAGCUGCGCCUCACGCCCAAGAUAUGGUUCAUCGAAGACGAGUCCAUGGAGCGCGGAAGCAGGAUUCUUACUAUAUUGGACAAACUAAAGGAGGAAAGGGAACAGAGAGAAGGAAAUGUUGAAGAAGAAGAUGUGGAAGUUUCAGAUAUAGCAGAAGAAGAAGAUGGUGUCUGGGAGGGAGAUGAACCAGAUGAGGAGGACAUAAUUUAUGUAAAAUAG
rnacentral:rRNA from 1 species